rnacentral:rRNA from 1 species
CGAAGCGGGAAGAGCUCAAAUUUGAAAGCUGGCACCUCCGGUGUCCGCGUUGUAAUCUCGAGACGUGUUUUCCGUGCGGCUCUAUGGACAAGUCCCUUGGAACAGGGCAUCGUAGAGGGUGAAAAUCCCGUACUUGCCAUGGAUGUACCGUGCUUUGUGAUACACGCUCUAAGAGUCGAGUUGUUUGGGAUUGCAGCUCAAAAUGGGUGGUAGACUCCAUCUAAAGCUAAAUAUCGGGGAGAGACCGAUAGCGAACAAGUACCGUGAGGGAAAGAUGAAAAGCACUUUGGAAAGAGAGUUAAAAGUACGUGAAAUUGUCGAAAGGGAAGCGCUUGAAGUCAGCCAUGCU